GCCCAGUGGUUGAGACGCCAGGCUCGCAACCUGAAAAUCACAGGUUCGAGUCCGGG
rnacentral:tRNA from 1 species